ACGGGAACCUCGAGUCUUUGACCUCAUGAUUAGGUGUAAAAGGCCACACAGGAGGUUGUUUGUGUUUUUUAUAAAAGUUUAAGUAUCAAGCUUAAGACUAUAAAAAAUAACUACGCAACUAGAAUAUAUCAGGGGUUUAGUUUAUUUUUGAUUUAGAGGUGAAAUUCGAUGACAUCAAAAAGAGAUCCAAUUGGCGAAAGCUCUAAACCAUGAUAUAUUGACUCUGAAGUGCUAAAGUGUGGGUAGCAAAUGGGA
rnacentral:rRNA from 1 species